UUCUGAGUAUAAAUGCUUCCUUAAUCUUGCACAGAGUGUGAGGCAGGUGAGCCACCACACAGGAAGGGAAGGGGAUUUAACUAAACAACUUCUCAUGUGCUUUGGAGAAAUAAGUGAUAGAAUUUUCAGAGUGGUGAGCCAUUCUUUGAACAGGUAUUUAUUGAGCAUCUAUUCCAGUUGAUCCAAUUUAGGCAUAAACCUUGAUGAAACGGGCAAAGUUUCUGCCAUCAAUAACUACACUCCAGUAAGAAGAGAUAGGCAGUAACAAACAACAACAACAACAACAACCAAACAACCAAGAUAAAAAGCUAUGAAUAAGUGUGAGAAAGACAAUGAAAUGGGACAAUUUCAUAACAUGUGACAGGGUAGGUUCUCCUACACCUGACUGGGUGUCAGGAAAUCUCUAUAUGAGUAGGUAUCAUGGUUAUUCCUCUGUGCAACAAAUUAUUGCCAAAAUUAGCAGUUGGGAAAAUCAAACAUUUAUUCUAUCGGACAGAAAUAAUGACCUAUUUGGGUAAUUCUAUUUCAUGGUCUCUUACGAGGUUGCCAUUAUUUGAAGGCUCAACUGGGCUAGAGAAUCUGCUUCCAAGACGGUGCAGUCACACAACUAUUGGCAAGAAGCCUCAGUUUCUUCCUACAUGGAUCUUUCCAUAAGUAACAUCUGAGUGUCUUCAUGGCAUGUUGACUGGUUUUCCCCCAAAACAAAUGAUCUGAAAGAGCAAGACAGAGCAGCAACAUAUUUUAUGUCUCAGCCUUGACACAUCAUGGGUCACAUGCCAUCACCUCACCAUAUUCUGUUGGUCACACAGAUUAAUGCUGAGGCCAUAAGGGAGGAGACUAUUACAGGGCAUGUAUAUCAGGAAUGAGGGUAUUAGGAAGACAUCAUCCUUCCUACCACAGGAAGGAACAGUUGCACUGAGGCCAGAAUAAUUGCAAGGAAUCAGUUAAGUGAAUACCUAGGGAGGAGGGUGUUCUAUUAAAGGAAGCAGCAGUUUCUAUUACACCGAGGCAGGGAAAGCUGGGUGUUGUCAAAUAAUAGACACAAGUCUAGACUGAACAAGCAGGAAGGUUGUAUGGGAUGAGUCUAGUGAGCAGGGGUGAGAUGCCAUGGAUCUUAUGGGGUUUGAAAUAUAUUCUGAAUGAGUGAACUGUUAGAGAGGUUUUUUUUUUUUUUUGAGAUGGAGUCUUGCUUUUGUCAUCCAGGCUGGAGUACGGUAUUGUGAUCUUGGCUCACUGCAACCUCUGCCUCCCGGGUUCAAGUGAUUCUCCUGCCUCAGCCUCCUGAGUAGCUGGGAUUACAAGUGCUUGCCACCAUGCCUGGUUAAUUUUUGUACUUUUAGUAGAGAUGGGGUUUCGCCAUGUUGAUCAGAUGGUCUCAAACUCCUGACCUAAGAUGACUCACCCACCUUGGCCUCUUGAAAGUUUUAAGCAGAGGAGUGACAUUAACUGCGUGACUACAUAUUGAACGAAAAUACAAUUAUGAGAAAAGAAUUGGAUAGGACCUGUAAAAUUGCCAUAUUAACAGAAAGAAUGACUUAGACUCUCGAUUUCUACCCUUGAUGGUCAUACUUUGCAAACUUAUAAAGAUGAGACCUAGAAAUAUUUAUUCUACCAGGUGAAUAAUAGAAUAUAAGUGAUCUGGGGAUUUCAAUAUGAAGUGUGAACAUCUCUGUAUCAGCUCUCACCUCCUAUUCUGCCAUCGUAAAAGAGGUUCUACUGUUGACCAGAUUAUUUAUAGGGAGAAAAAUCCACAGGGAACUACGGGCAAAAAUAUAUUUUAUAAAUGUUUCAAGGGCCAAGUUACGUUCCUGCUGAGGUGUUUUCCCUAUUAUUUGUCAGAUGUAGAGCAUCACUCACUCCGAUUUCUGUAGCGCCUUUUCAUGCUGUUAGAAUGCUGGUUUUAACUCAUUUACAAAAUAAUCACUUUAGACAUAAAAGAAUAACCCACUCUCCCAGCUCACUGGCCAGUGAUGAGUUACUCUUUAUAAAGUGGUUUCAACCUCUAGAGAAAAUGCAGACUUCAUUUCAAAUGAGAUUAUUCUGCUCUGUUGCUCAGUGCAGGUGUUGAGACUAUGGUUAUGGUUCACUGACUUGGAGACAGAAUGUGUUCAGUUUUUAUUUUAAACCAGACAUGCUUGCCAUACCCCUGCUGAGCCCCUCAUAACAUUUCAAUGGUAACAGAAUCUAGCAGAUAAAAUCCCAAUCAUGUGCAAAAUUAACCUUUUCUCUAGGCCUAAUGGUUUGACGCAGCAUUCUUUUUUUUUUUUUUUUACAUUUAUUUUAUUAAAUAAAAAAUGUUCAUCUGACAAAUAAACUUAUACUUUAAGUUCUGGGGUACAUGUGCAGAAUGUGCAGGUUUGUUACAUAGGUAUACAUGUGCCAUAGUGGUUUGCUGCAUUCAUCAUCCUGUCAUCUACAUUAGAUAUUUCUCCAAAUGCCAUCCCUCCCCAAUCCUCCCACCCCCUGUUAUCCUUCCUCUAGCCCUCCACUCCAGAAUAGGCCCCAGUGUGUGAUGUUCCCCUCCCGGUGUUUGUGUGUUCUCCUUGUUAAACACCUACUUAUGAGUGAGAACAUGCGAUGUUUGGUUUUCUGUUCUUGUGUCAGUGUGCUGAAAAUGAUAGUUUCCGGCUUCAUCCAGGAACAUGAACUCAUCCUUUUUUUAUGGCUGCAUAAUAUUCCAUGGUGUAUAUGUGCCCAUUUUCCUAAUCCAGUCUAUCAUUGAUGGGCAUUUGGGUUGGUUCCAAAUCUUUGCCAUUGUAAAUAGUGCCUCAAUAAACAUAUGUGUGCAUGUCUUUAUAAUAGAAUGAUUUAUAAUCCUUUGGGUAUAUACACAGUAAUGGGUCAUAUUGAUUGCUGGGUCAAAGGGUAUUUCUAUUUCUAGAUCCUUAAGAAAUUGCCACAUUGUGUUCCACAAUGGUUGAACUAAUUUACACUCUCACCAACAGUGUAAAAGCAUUCCUAUUUCUCCACAUCCUCUCUAGCAUCUGUUGUCUCCUGAUUUUUUAAUGAUCGCCAUUCUAACUAGUGUGAGAUGGUAUCUCAAUGUGGUUUUGAUUUGCAUUUCUCUAAUGACCAGUGAUAAGGAGCUUUUUUAAAAUAUGUUUUUGGCUCCAUAAAUGUCUUCUUUUGAGAAGUGUCUGUUCAUAUCAUUUGCCCACUUUUUGAUGGGGUUGCUUUUUUUUUUCUUGUACAUUUGUUUAAGUUCCUUGUAGAUUCUGGAUAUUAGCCCUUUGUCAGAUGGGUAGAUUGCAAAAUUUUUUUCCUAUUCUGUGGUUGCCGGUUCACUGUAAUGAUAGUUUCCUUUGCUGUGCAGAAGCUGUUAAGUUUAAUUAGAUCCCUUUGUCUAUUUUGACUUUUGUUGGCAUUGCUUUUGUGUUUUAGUCAUGAAGUCCUUGCCCAUUGCUAUGUCCAUAAUGGCAUUGCCUAGGUUUUCUUCCAGGGUUUUUAUGGUGCUAGGUCUUAUGUUUAAAUCUUUAAUCCAUCUAGAGUUAAUUUUUGUAUAAGAUGUAAGGAAGGGAUCCAAUUUCAGCUUUCUGCAUAUGGCUAGCCAGUUUUCCCAACAUCAUUUAUUAAACAGGGAAUCCUUUCCCCAUUGCUUUUUUGUCAGGUUUGUCAAAGACCAGAUGGUUGUAGAUGUGUGGUGUUAUUUCUGAGCCCUUGUUCUGUUCUAUUGGUCUAUAUCUCUGUUUUGGUACCAGCACCAUGGUGUUUUGAUUACUGUAGCCUUAUAGUAUAGUUUGAAGUCAGGUAACAUGACUUCAGCCUUGUUUUUUGUUUUUGUUUUUGCUUAGGAUUAUCUUGGCUAUGUGGGCUCUUUUUUGGUUUUAUAUAAAGUGUAAGGUGUUUUUUUUUCCAAUUCUGUGAAGAAAGUCUUUGGUAGCUUGAUGGGGAUAGCAUUGAAUCUGUAAAUUACUUUGGGCAGUAUGGCUGUUUUCAAAAUAUUGAUUCUUCCUAACCAUGAACAUGGACUGUUUUUCCAUCUGUUUGUGUCCUCUCUUAUUUCCUUGAGCAGUUGUUUGUAGUUCUCCUUGAAGAGGUCCUUUACAUCCUUUGUUAGUUGUAUUGCUAGGUUUUUCAUUCUCUUUGUAGUAAUUGUGAAUGGGAGUUCGCUCAUGAUUUGGCUCUCUGUUUAUCUGUUAUUGGUGUAUAGAAAUGCUUGUGGUAUUUGUGCAUUGAUUUUGUAUCUUGAGACUUUGCUGAAGUUGUUUAUCAUCUUAAGGAGAUUUUGGGCUGAGAUGAUGGGGUCUUCUAAGUAUACAGUCAUGUUGGCUGCAAAUAGAGAAAAUCUGACCUCCUCUUUACUUAAUUGAAUACCCUUUAUUUCUUUUCCUUGCCUGACUGCCCUGGCCAGAACUUCCAAUACUAUGUUGAAUAGGAGUGGUGAGAGAGGGCAUCUUUGUCUUGUGCCAGUUUUCAAAGGGAAUGCUUCCAGUUUUUGCCCAUUCAGUAUGAUAUUGGCUGUGGGUUUGUCAUAAAUAGCUCAUAUUAUUUUGAGGUAUGUUCCAUCGAUACCUAGUUUAUUGAGAGUUUUUAGCAUAAAGGGCUGUUGAAUUUUGUUGAAGGCCUUCUCUUCUCUCAUGUCCAUUUGGAUUAGGUGACCUAAAAUAAAUGCCCCUCCUUGUCUCUGGGCAUUUGAAAAAUAAAAAUAUAGUUAAUAAUCACACAAAAAGAGUAAGUCAUAUAAUAAUCAUAUAAAAAGAAUAAGUCUUGCCAUCCAGAGUAAGAGGUGGGCUGUGGAGUUUUAGGUCCUCCGUGAGGAAUGACAGAGGUAAAUAGAGUCUGAGUAAAUAGCCUCCCGUACCUUCCAAAUUUCUCUGUGGCCUGGUAAGAAGGAGGAGCUUCAAUCCAAAGUACUUAGGGAAAUAGCAUCCAUUGAUUUAGCCUUGCAUUCAUUCAUUCAUUCAUUCAUUCAACAACCAUCUACAGAGCUGAGUGCUCCCUAUGGGAAGCCACUUACUGGGGUCUGAAUCCCAGUGAUAAAUGAAACAGAAGUCUUGCCUUCAUGGUGCUUGCAGUCUAGAAUGAGGGUAAACAUGAAUGAUUUAUUUACACCCUUUUUGAUAAUUGUCAUAAAGUAAUACUCCAGAGUGUUAUAAGAGCAUAUAAUGGUGGAGGUAGGUGUUAACUUAGAGGGCUUUUCUAAGGAGGUGGCAUUUAAGGUGAGCCUUGCUGAAUAAAGUAGGUCAGGCAAAAGAGAAACAGAUAUGGGAGGAGACGAAGUGGGCAGGAGGUGAAGGGAGAUCCAGUGUUCCAGGUAGGCAGAAUAGCUUCUAGGGACUUUCCAUGAAUUUGCCAUAGAUGACUAACAGCAUUAGGUUUCUUACAUUUUUUAAAAAUGUGAAUCAUGUGGAAUCAAAUUAACUUUUGUGAUUUGGCAUGACUUUUUUUUUCUUUUGCCAGAGGAGGCUAUAACAUUCGAAGGAUUAAAAUUGUCAUCAUUAGUAGAAACACAGAAUACUGAGUGAAAUAAUCUAGCCACAGAAAGACAAUUACUGUUAGUCCAUGAAUAUGAGGUAUCAAAUAUAGUCAAAUUUAUAAAAGUAGAGAGGAAUGGUGAUUACCAGGGGCUGAGGAGAGGGGGAAUUGGGAAGUUGCUAAUCAAUGGGCAUAAAGUUUCAGUUAAGACGGAUGGAUAAGCGCUAGAGAUGUGCUGUACACCAUUGUGCCUACAGUCAAUGAUACUGUACUGCACACAUACAGUUUUGUUAAGAGGUAUAUUUCAUGUUCUUACCACACAAAAAAUACAUAUGGGAUAAAAACACAAAACACACUAAAAUUAUUUUAUUUAUGCCACUGUGCUCAUUUUGCCACUUACAGAGAGAGUAAAGAUGGGAGAGAAAGAGAGAUGGAUAAAGAAGGAAAAGGAUUCCUGGAGAAAGGAUAAAAACAUAGAGAACAUAACGAGUAUAAUGGAAGCAGAGUGAUGAAUUGUAUGUACCAACUGGUUUUUAAAAACCGGCUUUGUCCUUUCUUAGGGGAGUAUCAAAGGUAGACCAUUUUUUUUUGCCACUCCCUCAUGAUACCAAAAUUACUAUAUUAGUAUGUGUUCACAACCAUUAAUGUUUCUCUAUUUUGAUAUUUUCAAAGGAAUUAUUCUCCAGGUAGCAGUGCCCAGAAGCAUAUAAUUGUGAGUGCUGUAUAAAAUGAAGGCAAGAACCCGGCAAGCUUUAGUUCAUUGAUAUUGUGUAGUGAAAUGCAAAGUGGGGAGCUACAAUAUGAAAAUAGAUAGAGAAUGGCAGAAACCUCUUAGGAGUCUCGUUUUGGCCAUAGCAGACUCCUUAAGUUUGAGAGGUCUGGUGGGCUUCAGCUGCUCAUGGUGUUGGACCUGGUGGCAGACACACCUAUUCUCUUUCUCUAGCCAGAGAGGGAACAAGCCAAAUUAGUCGACACUUAGUGGCAAGAUCGGUUAUUUAUCCUCAGAGGGAUAUCAGGAUGUGAAGUCAGUUGAUAAUAACAGUGAUAGUCUUGAAUCUUAAUUGAAUGGGUUGCUUGGACUUAAAAUAUGAGAGGAAAAGAGGUGAGAAAAAGAAUAGUCACGAGUUAGGUGAGGUGAUGACUGCAGAAUAAGACUCAGCUAACAGUUUGAUAUUAGAAAGGAAAAGGUAAACACACAAUAGAUGUUGCUGGUGUUAAUUUCAAGGGUAUUUUUCCCAUGCUGCUCAGCACUCAUAAUAAGUUUAUGAAUAAUUCUAAGCUGUUUAUCAUGGACAAGUUUAAGAAAUUAACAUGGGCUUGAGCAACUUUCGAGAACAGAUGUUUGAAAACCAAUGACAGAGCAAGGAGAUAUUGGAAAUAAAGUCAGUGAAACUAGAAUUAAAAGCAUAUUAAACAUCGGUUGAUUUGAUGUAUAUAAUCAUAUGGGACAGAAAAUUAAUAGCUAUUUAGCAUACACAUUCACUUACAUCCUAAUAUGUAUCACAUUUUUAAAGAAGGUUUUAAAAAAUCAGACUUAUUACUGUUAUUGUUCUACCUCUCAUCCAAAUGAUUUCCUCUUGCAAAGGAUAUGAGCAACAAAUUUAAUGAGCUGCAUAAGGAACUUAAGUUGAAAGGUAACUGAUAUUCAGAUAGUUUAUCCGGCUACCAUAGGACAUCUACUUAUUACUAUGCUCAAAGAGAAUUUUAAACUUUAUGACAUUUAAAAUUUUGACACUUUAAAAAUGUGUAACAUAUUUUGGAAGUCAUAUAAUGGCUUUAUUUUUUCUUUGAAUCAUGAAAAUUCUAAUUCAUCUUUUCCACUAAUUUCUGUUAAAAUAUUGAGGAUCUCAUGCUUAGAUUUAAGAAAACAAAGGGGGUGUUUCAUACUUAUAAAGAUGUCCUUCUUUGCUAUCAUCCAAAUUAAAUAUAUUUCUUUGUUAAAACAUUCUUUACCUAGUAUUAAUAAGAAAUGAUAUACCCACACGCUACCAAUAUAUUCUCAGACAAUUUUCUUUGGCAUGAAGUAGAUUUUCAAAAUAUAUUUUAUGAUAGAAAUGCUUUGCUUUGGGACAUCGAGGAUGGAAGAUGAAGUGGUUCUAUAAGGUGAGAAGAAAGGACAGCAGCAAUGAAGCUUAAGGUGAGGGAGGGUGGCAUGCUGGACUCAUGCGCAGUUGGCAAGUACACCUGUCUAGAUUGUUACUCAGACUCUGUACAAAGGCCAUCUUGAGCAGGUUACCCAGACUUUCCUAGUCUUGGUUUCCUUACCCAAAAAAUGAGAGAUAGUGCUGCCCAUUUCACAUGGGUUUGUUUCCUAAGAAUCAAAUAAGUGAAAAUGUAUAAAGCUUAUAGAAGCUUUUGUGAUUCUAUGCUUAGAAGUACAGCCUCAUCUAUUAAGCUGAAUUUAUUAUUUUCAUUUAAGAGGAGGCUAUUUCCAUGCCAGUUUGGGGACUUUUCUUUGGAUUACUUACUGAAACUGCAACAUCAUUCACUCCCUUCCCUCAGCUUUAGUGAAGUGUAAUUGACAAAUAAAAAUUGUAUAUACUUUAGUAUUCUUAUUAUUCACUUUUGUUAUCUACUUGUAUCAGAUAUUACAGAUGGGAGGGGAGGGGUGGUCCAUUUUUGUCAAUAUGAAUGCUCUCUGACUUCUGAGAAGGGUCACUCAUUCCACAAUGUGUUUUUCUUCCUCAGCCCUUGGCCCUUUGUGUGUGUGUGUGUGUGUGUGUGUGUGUGUGUCUGUGUGUGAUUUUUCCUUUUCAUUCUCCUCAUACUUCAGAAUCUUUACAGUUAGGUCAAAGGCAAGUCAUAGUAAUUGUGUUGGCUAGAUCAGGGGUAAAGAUUAAUAAGAAUAGGUGAAAGUGGCCAUGGUGAUGGCUCACGCCUGUAAUUCCAGCACUUUGAGAGUUUUGGAAGACAGAGGCAGGAGAAUCACUUCAGCCCAGGAAUUAGAGACCAGCCUGAGCAACAUAGUGAGACCCUGUCCCUAUGAGAAAUUUUAAUAAAAAUUAGCUGGACAUGGUGGCAUGCAUCUGUGGCCCCAGCCAAUUGAGAGGUUGAAAGGGAGGUUGGCUUGAGCCCAGGAGUUUGAGGCUGCAGGGAGCUAUGGUUGCAGUGGCAACAAAGUGAGACCCUGUCUCAAAAAGAAGAAGAAAAAAGAAUAGAUGUGAGUGUUUGGGUAUUUGAGACUGGAGUGAUUAUUCCCUCAGUUGAUUCUGUGACCCUUGUACAUAUUCAUGGACAUCUUAUACCUGGAACUGCUGUGAUUGUGACAGAAUCAACACACAGCUUUGCUUCUCUUCUCUAUGCAGAACCCUGUAAGUGCUGUAGAAGAUAUGAAAGUAAAUAAGAUGACAUCCCUCGUGACUAAGAAAUGUUUCUCUGCAAACAUAUCCAGUGUUAACUGACACCUCCAUGGAGAUCUGUAAUAAGUGCCCUGAGAGAUACUGCUCAAAAAGUUGGAAGAUGAAAGAGACUGUUACAGACUCAGAGUUAACUAAACAUUUAUGAUGAAGUGCCCAAGAAUAAAAGACAGCAUUGUGAGAUUCCCGAAAAUGAGGAAGAUAUAAGCGUUUAGAUUGUAGAGAAGAUGAACACAGAAGAACCAAGUUGGUUUAUCAGAGGGGAAGGUGAUCUCAAGAACAUGAUGCAUUUGAACUGACCUAGUCAUAUGCACCUUUGGAAUAUUCCGGUGUGAGAUUUCUGUUUUGGGAACAGCUGGCAGAGUUGGAAGAGUACUGUGUCAAGAAUAUUAACACCACUUAGGACAAGGUUUGGACAGUAAGCAGAGAUGUAUCUUAUGACCUCUUAGGACCUGAAGUGUGAUCAUUCAUCUUCAAAGGAGUCUAUGGAGGUUUGCAGAACAGCAGUUGAAUAGAUUUCUAUUGGAUCGCUUGCUCUGGAGAAACCAACUGCCAUGUUGUAAGGACAUGAAUGCAACUUUAUAUAGACGGUUGAAUGACAAGGAACUGAGACCUCCUGACAGUCAGGCAAGCGAGUGAGUCACUGGAGGAGUAGGCACUGUUCCUCUGCUGAUAUCGUGACCGCAACCUCAUUAGAGGUCAUUGGCUGGAACCACACAGCCAAACUGCUCCCAAAUUCCUGUCCCAUAGGGAUUGUUGAAUAAUAAAUGUAUAUUGUUGUUAGCUACUAAGUCUGGGGAUAAUGUGUUACCUAGAAAUAGAUCAGUAAUAUAAUAAUUAAGAAAGGGACCUCAGCAAAAUAGCUACAGUCCUUCUGAUGAAUCUGAAAGUAGGUCAACAGGAUUUUAUUCAGUCUGAUUAAAGGAAAGACUUUUGAGCUUCACUGCAGAGAGAAAUCUCAAGCCUGGAAUGACAUUUUAAAGAUGUAACUGAAUUUUUGGCUAUUGGGGCUUUGAAAAUUUGGCUUCUUACAAGCUCUAGAAGUCUUUCUAAUGCUAAUAAUAACACCUACAAUUUAUUUAACUAUGAUUUCAAACACAUUUUCACAUCAGUGUUCUCAUUUAAUGUAGAAGAUGGCAUUUUUUCCUGCAGCUUCCCAGAAUUUGCAUACUUAUUUUUCUAAAAUUAUCAAGACUGUUCCCCACAGAAUGAUGUAUAAGAUAGUUUUUGUUUUUAUGGCAUGGAUCAUGCCUUUGCAAAGUAAAAUAAGGUUUUCUCACAUCUCAAUAUGGCUUUUAGGUUUACACAUACUACAUAUACCAAGAGUUGAGCAAUUGAAGAUAUCUGUAUAUAAUUAAAGCAAUUAUUGAGUGGAAUAUAAAUAUUUGGUGCUGAAACUUUACCCUAAUUAUUGAAUUGUAAUUUGGAGACAAGUGAGUUGUCUGUUGGCUACAAGUGAUUAUUACAGCUUUAAAAAUAAUGAAGCAUGGAGUCUUUAACAUGAACCUGUGAUUCUCCUUUUGAAUUUUAAAGGAGGGAAAAAUGAUUCAUUUUAUUUGAAAAGGACAUUAUUUCUUAUCCUUACUGGGUUUAUUAGUGCAAUUGUCUUAUGUGAUCUUAGGACAGUGUUUUAUUUUUGGACAGUAAGGCAGGACAUUAAAAUAAAGACCCUGGUUUGCCUUUUUCUAGCUACAUGUGGCCCUUUAAAAUGUAACACCCUAGUGGAAGUCUGGGGCUUGAAGCAGGUCCCUGAUGGUUGAAGGCUGAUGGCAGAGCAGGUAUAAAUCUGUUCAUAAAAGAAAGGUGAUCUUUGGAUUACCCCAUUGUGAUAAUGGGACUGGAGUGUUAACCCAUCAUAGCACCAGUGCAAAAACAGGGUGUAUGGAGAAGAGAUACGAACUUAAGUGUGGACCAGAAAGGGAGAAAGAUAGAACUUAAAGAAUGAAUACCAGGUGGGCAUGGUGGUUCACACCUGUAAUCUCAGCACUUUGGGAGGCUGAGGCAGGCAGAUUAUGUGGUUCAGAGUUCAACAACAGCCUGGCCAAUAUGGUGAAACCCCAUCUCUACUAAAAAUAUAUAAAUUGGCCAGCGUGGUGGCAUGUGCCUGUAGUCCCACCUACUCAGGAGGCUGAGGCAGGAGGAUUGCUUGAACCCAGGAGGCAGAAAUUGCAGCGGCCGAGAUCAUGCCACUGCACUUCAGCCUGGGCGACAGAGCAAGACUCUGUCUUUUUUUUUUUUUAAUCAUAUUUCUUUCUCUUUUUUUUAUGUGAGAAAGAAUAGAGUGGGAGAAGAGUGGUGAGGAGCAGUAUGUUCUUAUCUUAUCAGUGAGAUUGCAGCAGUUAUGGUGGAUCCCCCACUGUCUCAUUCUUAAAGAAAUUCUCCCCGUAGUUUUUCUCACUUCUAUUCUUUGAUGAUCACAUAGAGAGUUCCAAUUCCCUGUCUUUGUUUCAGCAGGCUUUCAAAUAGUCAGGACUGUUCCAAAGCACGUGGUCUACAAGUGAAUUCAUCAUGGUAUCCAAACCAUUCUCAGAGUGCCUACCACUCUGGUUUCUGUUUCCUUGGAUUAAGAGGGUCUUCUUUCCACUGGGAUUUUUCCUUUUGCUUCCACAUCCUGUAAUAGCAUGUUGAAAUUUCCUCCCUGCAUUUCAGUAUAAACUUAAUAGGGCAGUGGUUUUUA